UACGGGGGGAGCAAGCGUUGUUCGGAUUUACUGGGCGUAAGGCGCGUAGGCGGCCACCGCAAGUCGAUUGUGAAAUCUCCGGGCCUUAACCCGGAAAGGUCAACCGAUACUGCGGGGCUAGAGUGCAGAAGGGGCAACUGGAAUUCUCGGUGUAGCGGUGAAAUGCGUAGAUAUCGAGAGGAACACCUGCGGCGAAGGCGGGUUGCUGGGCUGACACUGACGCUGAUGUGCGAAAGCUAGGGGAGCGAACGGG
rnacentral:rRNA from 1 species